rnacentral:rRNA from 1 species
AGCGGCGGAUGGGUGAGUAACACGUGGGGAACCUGCCCCUGAGUCUGGGAUACCAUUUGGAAACAGGUGCUAAUACCGGAUAAUAAAGCAGAUCGCAUGAUCAGCUUUUGAAAGGCGGCGUAAGCUGUCGCUAAGGGAUGGCCCCGCGGUGCAUUAGCUAGUUGGUAAGGUAACGGCUUACCAAGGCGACGAUGCAUAGCCGAGUUGAGAGACUGAUCGGCCACAUUGGGACUGAGACACGGCCCAAACUCCUACGGGAGGCAGCAGUAGGGAAUCUUCCACAAUGGACGCAAGUCUGAUGGAGCAACGCCGCGUGAGUGAAGAAGGUUUUCGGAUCGUAAAGCUCUGUUGUUGGUGAAGAAGGAUAGAGGUAGUAACUGGCCUUUAUUUGACGGUAAUCAACCAGAAAGUCACGGCUAACUACGUGCCAGCAGCCGCGGUAAUACGUAGGUGGCAAGCGUUGUCCGGAUUUAUUGGGCGUAAAGCGAGCGCAGGCGGAAAAAUAAGUCUAAUGUGAAAGCCCUCGGCUUAACCGAGGAACUGCAUCGGAAACUGUUUUUCUUGAGUGCAGAAGAGGAGAGUGGAACUCCAUGUGUAGCGGUGGAAUGCGUAGAUAUAUGGAAGAACACCAGUGGCGAACGCGGCUCUCUGGUCUGCAACUGACGCUGAGGCUCGAAAGCAUGGGUAGCGAACAGGAUUAGAUACCCUGGUAGUCCAUGCCGUAAACGAUGAGUGCUAAGUGU